ACGGUUUUAGCAUCUUGGGUUUUGGGGGCAUAUUUUGAAAAGGACUAAAUCGGAAUUGUUUUUGCUGCAGAGACUAUCCCAUCCCUUGCUUUUCAAAGACACCAUCAUGUGGGAAAUGUGAAUCUUUUACUCAUCUCUUCAAGACUCCCAAAGACAGAGAUGAGCCUUCUGUUUCCAGUGAUCGUGGGGCCCCCAGAUGAAGCCAGCCUCAAGAUAAUAAGUCAGAUGGGGAAACUGAGGAUCAGAAAGGUUAAGGCACUUGCCCAAAGUCAAGGAACUCAUACACGACAG
rnacentral:lncRNA from 1 species